rnacentral:rRNA from 1 species
UUGUCCUGUGACUGCGUACCUUUUGUAUAAUGGGUCAGCGACUUAUAUUCAGUGGCAAGGUUAACCAUCUAGGGGAGCCGUAGGGAAACCGAGUCUUAACUGGGCGUUCAGUCUCUGGAUAUAGACCCGAAACCAGGUGAUCUAGCCAUGGGCAGGUUGAAGGUUGAGUAACAUCAACUGGAGGACCGAACCGACUAAUGUUGAAAAAUUAGCGGAUGACUUGUGGCUAGGGGUGAAAGGCCAAUCAAACCUGGAGAUAGCUGGUUCUCCCCGAAAGCUAUUUAGGUAGCGCCUCGGACGAAUACUACUGGGGGUAGAGCACUGUUAAGGCUAGGGGGUCAUCCCGACUUACCAACCCUUUGCAAACUCCGAAUACCAGUAAGUACUAUCCGGGAGACACACGGCGGGUGCUAACGUCCGUCGUGGAGAGGGAAACAACCCAGACCGCCAGCUAAGGUCCCAAAUUACUACUAAGUGGGAAACGAUGUGGGAAGGCUCAGACAGCCAGGAUGUUGGCUUAGAAGCAGCCAUCAUUUAAAGAAAGCGUAAUAGCUCACUGGUCGAGUCGGCCUGCGCGGAAGAUGUAACGGGGCUAAGUAGUAAACCGAAGCUGCGGCAAUGUGCUUUUGCACAUUGGGUAGGGGAGCGUUCUGUAAGCGGUUGAAGGUGUGUGGUAACGCAUG